CACCUUUUAAUGUUUAAUUUUCUUUUUAAAUCCUUCAUUGUAUUUUCAGUGUAAUUCCUAUUUGAACUUUUAUUGUCUUUAAGAUAUAAUUUUCUAAUUAAAUAUUUAAUUUUUUAAUUAAAUGUUUUGUCUUUCUAUUGGAUAGGUGUAGUGAGAGACAAACAGGAAACGGGGGAGAAGAGUCGGGGGAAGACUUGCAGCAAAGGGCCACUAGCGGGACUCAAACCCGGGACGCUGCGUUGGGGACCAGUCCCUGUACAUGGAUCACCCGCUUAACCCGUUGAGCUAUAUGGUGUUGAUGUCACCGCCUUGACGAAUAGAAGAAAAGCCUGUAUUUGGGGGCACAGAGGAACACCCCCAGCAACCAUCACUCCCGCGCUCCAACGCCACACCGUGCCAGCCAAUGGUGCCGAAAGGCUAACCGACGAAUAGAAAACCCUUGUGCAGCCACGCCACCACACGAACAAAAGUGUGCGCCCCCAUGGAAAACACGAAACUCCCGCGGUGACCUCAAACUUACGAAUGGUGGUGUAUAUAAUAUACAUCAUAGCCACAAACCAACAGGAAGAUGAAGUCAUGUUGUUUUUCAUGUUUAUAAUAUGUAACUGUUAAAUACAAUGCUGUAACUCAACAUUAAUAAAGAAAACAUACAUUUCAAUUGAUUUCCCGCUCUUUACGCUCUUUACGCUC
ensembl:lncRNA